rnacentral:lncRNA from 1 species
CUCCAGCUCUGAAGACUGUAAUACACAGAGGUGAACUCCUUCGGCCCUGUCACACAGAAAAAUAAAUAAUACAAAUUCAGCACGCAAUUCAAAUCGAUUCAACAAACUACUGCAAUUUAGGUAUUCAACAGUCUAAAUGUCACACAGAAAAAUAAAUAAUACAAAUUCAGCACGCAAUUCAAAUCGAUUCAACAAACUACUGCAAUUUAGGUAUUCAACAGUCUAAAUGUCACACAGAAAAAUAAAUAAUACAAAUUCAGCACGCAAUUCAAAUCGAUUCAACAAACUACUGCAAUUUAGGUAUUCAACAGUCUAAAUUUACUACAGGACCUGUCUAAAUUAUCUUAUGGCCUAAUUUACCGCAAUAAAACACAACAAUACGUUUAACCGAGAAUCAUAAAACUAAAAGAAACAAAAAUUGAUCAUCACAAGAGUAUGAAAUACUGAAAUAUACC